UUGACCUCAAAUCAGGUAGGACUACCCGCUGAACUUAAGCAUAUCAAUAAGGCGGAGGAA
rnacentral:rRNA from 2 species